UACUACAAAUGAAGACAAAAUUUUAUCUGAAGUAAAAGAGAGAACAUCUGAGAACAUCAGAGAACAUCUGAACUUACCUUUGGGGAUCCUGGUACAGCCUGAGAUUUUGCAACCUUAUGCUGAGAAGACAGUCUUGAACAAAAAGAUAAUAUGAUACAAUUAGUUGGAAAGGAAGAGGGUCAAAAUUCCCAGAUGAGAAAGGAAAACUGGCCAAGGAAAUCAGGCCAGAGGGACCACCUGGACCACUUUGGAUGCCAAGAAUAUCUGUGGCCAUUCAUCUGGUGGAUGAGGCGGAAAGUGGUGUGCCCGCCAUUCAUCACAUCUCUCUUCUCUACCAAAGAAAAUACAAGAUGGAGUCUUCCUCUUCUGGAUCCAUGGAGGCUGCUCUAGACUGAUGAAGGUUUCCCCAUCUGGAUUUCUAUCUUCAUAGACCUGUGAGUAUUGUUGGAGUUGAGAGUGGCAGAAGGUGUUUGUUCCUUCUGAACACUUGUAUGGACAGGUCGCCACAUCCACCUAGGAUUCUAGAAG